CCUACGGGAGGCAGCAGUGAGGAAUAUUGGUCAAUGGACGCAAGUCUGAACCAGCCAUGCCGCGUGCAGGAUGACGGCUCUAUGAGUUGUAAACUGCUUUUGUACGAGGGUAAACCCCGAUACGUGUAUCGGGUUGAAAGUAUCGUACGAAUAAGGAUCGGCUAACUCCGUGCCAGCAGCCGCGGUAAUACGGAGGAUCCGAGCGUUAUCCGGAUUUAUUGGGUUUAAAGGGUGCGUAGGCGGUUUGAUAAGUUAGAGGUGAAAUGUCGGGGCUCAACCCCGAAACUGCCUCUAAUACUGUUAGACUAGAGAAUAGUUGAGGUAGGCGGAAUGUAUGGUGUAGCGGUGAAAUGCUUAGAGAUCAUACAGAACACCGAUUGCGAAGGCAGCUUACCAAACUAUAUCUGACGUUGAGGCACGAAAGCGUGGGUAGCAAACAGGAUUAGAUACCCUAGUAGUC
rnacentral:rRNA from 1 species